rnacentral:rRNA from 1 species
GACGAACCGUGCGAACGUUGUUCGGAUUCACUGGGCUUAAAGGCGCGUAGGCGGUCGACCAAGUCUGGGGUGAAAUCUUUCGGCUUAACCGGAAAAGUGCCCCCGAUACUGGCCGGCUAGAGGGAGAUAGGGGCAUGUGGAACUUCCGGUGGAGCGGUGAAAUGCGCAGAUAUCAGGAGGAACACCUAUUGCGAAGGCAGCUCGCUGGGACGUAACUGACGCUGAGACGCGAAAGCGUGGGGAGCAAACAGG